rnacentral:RNase_P_RNA from 1 species
UGAGUAAGUCAGAUAGUCGCGUGUACAAGUGCCGAAAGGCCGUACAUGAGGAAAGUCCGGGCUCCACAGGGCAGGAUGCCGGGUAACUCCCGGUGAAGGCGACUUCAAGGAGAGUGCAACAGAAAGAUACCGCCUUAUUGGAGAUGGGAAGCUUCUAACUUCUUACUUCCAAAUAUAAGGUAAGGGUGGAAAGGUGAGGUAAGAGCUCACCAGCGGCAUGGCGACUUGCCGGCUAUGUAAACCCCAUCUGGAGCAACACCGUAUAAGAGACAUAUGGUGGCCCGCCAGUCUCAGGCAGGUGGCUUGAGCUUUACAGA